rnacentral:rRNA from 1 species
AGGAAUAUUGGUCAAUGGGCGGGAGCCUGAACCAGCCAAGUCGCGUGAGGGAGUAAGGCCCUACGGGUCGUAAACCUCUUUUGCCGGGGAGCAGGGCGGCGGACGUGUCCGCCGUUUGAGAGUACCCGGAGAAAAAGCAUCGGCUAACUCCGUGCCAGCAGCCGCGGUAAUACGGAGGAUGCGAGCGUUAUCCGGAUUUAUUGGGUUUAAAGGGUGCGUAGGCGGGCUUUUAAGUCAGCGGUAAAAAUUCGGGGCUCAACCCCGUCCGGCCGUUGAAACUGGGGGCCUUGAGUGGGCGAGAAGAAGGCGGAAUGCGUGGUGUAGCGGUGAAAUGCAUAGAUAUCACACAGAACACCGAUUGCGAAGGCAUCUCACGAAUCCGCGAUUGACGCUGAUGCACGAAAGCGUGGGUAUCAAACAGG